rnacentral:rRNA from 1 species
ACGUGGGUGAUCUGCCCUGCACUUCGGGAUAAGCCUGGGAAACUGGGUCUAAUACCGGAUAUGACCUCGGGAUGCAUGUCCCGGGGUGGAAAGCUUUUGCGGUGUGGGAUGGGCCCGCGGCCUAUCAGCUUGUUGGUGGGGUUAAGGCCUACCAAGGCGACGACGGGUA